CCUACGGGGGGCAGCAGUGAGGAAUAUUGGUCAAUGGGCUUACGCCUGAACCAGCCAAGUCGCGUGAGGGAAGACUGCCCUAUGGGUUGUAAACCUCUUUUGUCAGGGAGCAACGCCGGCUACGUGUAGCCGGACUGAGAGUACCUGAAGAAAAAGCAUCGGCUAACUCCGUGCCAGCAGCCGCGGUAAUACGGAGGAUGCGAGCGUUAUCCGGAUUCAUUGGGUUUAAAGGGUGCGUAGGCGGAAUGCCAAGUCAGCGGUAAAAUCGCGGGGCUCAACCGCGCUCCGCCGUUGAAACUGGCGUUCUUGAGUGGGCGAGAAGUAUGCGGAAUGCGUGGUGUAGCGGUGAAAUGCAUAGAUAUAUGGAGGAACACCAGUGGCGAAGGCGACGAUCUGGCCUGCAACUGACGCUCAGUCCCGAAAGCGUGGGGAGCAAAUAGGAUUAGAUACCCGUGUAGUC
rnacentral:rRNA from 1 species